UGCGUGAUGAUGGAAAAUUUCUUCACUUUGACCUGACGUGUUUGAUUGAAGAAAUUCAGCUGUCUGACA